rnacentral:lncRNA from 1 species
CUCCAGAGCGCGUGAACUUGCAUGCGAGUCGCAUGGUCACCGCCUGACCGUUGCGUUGCCACGCGUUCUGGGUGGAAUAGGCAUGUUUGGUUUAUUGGACAUACCCUCGAUAGGUGUCAGGAAGAAUAAUACAAUAGAAGAAUCUCACGAGGAGACCGAAGUAAGCUGAAACAUGAAUUAGCAGCCAAGUGUUUGAUUAGCGGUGCGGGUAAUGCACAUAGACAAUGGGCUUAAAUUUUGGCUGAGGAUGGUCAUCUACUGAGGAGACUCUCUUGCCAAAAUUUUAGCUCACAUGGAUGAACCUAGGUGACACUUGCUUUGCAAAGUACCACAUUGUGCAGAAUUAUGGAUGUUGAAGCUGGGAACAAAUGAAUCAAAGGAUUGAGCUGAAAAUUGGUGUAUGAUGUUAAUUAGGGCAUAUGAAGGCACUGUAAAAAAAAUAUACCAUUUGGACAUGCCAAAGUGACACUUCCUUCACAAUAUGUCAAUCUGGACAAAAAAUGGUAAUUGAAACUGGGCUCACAUGGAUUGUUAGAUGGGGCUAAAAU